rnacentral:rRNA from 1 species
GCUGAACUUAAGCAUAUCAAUAAGCGGAGGAAAAGAAACUAACAAGGAUUCCCCUAGUAACGGCGAGUGAAGAGGGAAAAGCUCAAAUUUAAAAUCUGGCGGUCUACGGCCGUCCGAGUUGUAAUCUAGAGAAGUGUUUUCCGCGCUGGACCGUGUACAAGUCCUUUGGAACAAGGCGUCAUAGAGGGUGAGAAUCCCGUCUACGACACGGACUGCCAAGCGCUUUGUGAUACAGUCUCUACGAGUCGAGUUGUUUGGGAAUGCAGCUCAAAAUGGGUGGUAAAUUCCAUCUAAAGCUAAAUAUGGGCGAAAGACCGAUAGCGAACAAGUACCGUGAGGGAAAGAUGAAAAGCACUUUGGAAAGAGAGUUAAACAGUACGUGAAAUUGUUGAAAGGGAAACGCUUGAAGUCAGUCGCGUCUUCAGAAAUUCAGCUGGGCUUCUGCCCUGUGUACUUUUCUGUGGGACGGGCCAGCAUCAGUUUCGGCUGCCAGAAAAAGGUGGGAGGAAGGUGGCACCUCCGGGUGUGUUAUAGCCUCCGAUCGUAUGUGGCAGCUGGGACUGAGGACCGCAGCACGCCUUCAUGGCCGGGNUUCGCCCACGUNACGUGCUUAGGAUGCUGGCGUAAUGGCUUUAAGCGACCCGUCUUGAAACACGGACCAAGGAGUCUAACAUGCCUGCGAGUAUUUGGGUGGCAAACCCAUAUGCGCAAUGAAAGUGAACGGUUGGGACUUCUGUCAUGGAAGGCACCGACGCCCGGACCAGACCUAUUGUGACGGAUCCGAGGUAGAGCAUGUAUGUUGGGACCCGAAAGAUGGUGAACUAUGCCUGAGUAGGGUGAAGCCAGAGGAAACUCUGGUGGAGGCUCGUAGCGAUUCUGACGUGCAAAUCGAUCGUCGAACUUGGGUAUAGGGGCGAAAGACUAAUCGAACCAUCUAGUAGCUGGUUCCUGCCNAAGUNUCCCU